UACGUAGGGGGCAAGCGUUAUCCGGAUUUACUGGGUGUAAAGGGAGUGUAGACGGCGAUGCAAGUCUGGAGUGAAAGCCCGGUGCUCAACACCGGGACUGCUUUGGAAACUGUAAAGCUGGAGUGCCGGAGAGGUAAGCGGAAUUCCUAGUGUAGCGGUGAAAUGCGUAGAUAUUAGGAAGAACACCAGUGGCGAAGGCGGCUUACUGGACGGUAACUGACGUUGAGGCUCGAAAGCGUGGGGAGCAAACAGG
rnacentral:rRNA from 1 species